ensembl:lncRNA LRRC77P leucine rich repeat containing 77, pseudogene
UUAGAAUAACAGAAUUUGGUCCCCUCCCACUUCCUGGAGAAUUAUCCCUCUGUAGGCAAGAAGAAGUCUUUAUUCUCUUCGGAAGCUGCUCCUCUUGCACUCCAAAAUAUAGUUCUGAUGGAAGCUGCCAAUCACUUUAUCCCAUUCCCAGAACAGGCAUGGUACCAGACUGAGGUCAAUCCUAUACUCCACCUUAUUUGCCAUGGAAAAUAGCCUAGCGAUACUUGCAUGACUCAGGGCAGUUGGAGUAGUUUGAUGGAAUUUUUUAAACCACAGCUGACAGGAAGUAGCUCUGUUCCUUAUUAGUUGCAAAUGCUGCAAGCAUAUGACCCUAGAGUUAUCUGUUGCCAGUUGUUGCCUUGUGGAGAUCAUAGGCUUAAGAUGAUGAAGGCAGCAAUCAGCAAUAAGCAGAGGUGUGCUUGUGUGUGUGUGUGUGUGUGUGUGUGUGUGUGUGUCA